UACAGAGGUGGCAAGCGUUGUUCGGAAUUACUGGGCGUAAAGCGCGUGUAGGCGGCUCUGCAAGUCGGGUGUGAAAUCCCAUGGCUCAACCAUGGAAGUGCACUCGAAACUGCAGGGCUAGAGUCCUGGAGAGGAAGGUGGAAUGCUUGGUGUAGAGGUGAAAUUCGUAGAUAUCAAGCGGAACACCGGUGGCGAAGGCGGCCUUCUGGACAGUGACUGACGCUGAGACGCGAAAGCGUGGGGAGCAAACAGG
rnacentral:rRNA from 1 species